GAGACUAUAGUGGACAAAAGACUUGAGAUUUCUAACAGCCUUAGUUUCACUAGCCCGUUUUUCAUAUACAAGGAGUAAAGCAACAGAAGUACCAGGUUCUUGUUGAUACUGUUUUUGUCCAGAAAUAAUACGAAAGGGGUGAGGGAGUGAUCCAGGAAGGGAAGACAGAAGCAAGUGGAAGAGUGAUGCAGCCCUCAGACUGAAAAAGGCUCCUCGCCCCUGGUGUAGUGGUUAAAGUGUUGAGCAUGAGUUGGAGGCCUGGGUUGAAAAUCACUACUCAGUCAGAUUUUUAAUUCUUACAACAGCCCUGUUUAAUAAGUUAGGAUAAAAGUGACUGCUCUCCGAUCACCCAGUGAUCUUCAUAUUUCAGCAGUGAUUUGAACCCAAGUCUUCCUAACCCAAACCUAGCACAAUAUCCACUAUAUCACAGCUGCUAUGCUGCAGUCAGCUGACUUAAUCACAAGAUGAAUUGCAACUUGCACUCUAGCAAUCUCUCCCACUUUUAACUGGCCACAGGGACAGGAGCUGAUCCAUCCAAGGCUAC